CUACUGUUGAGGAGUCCCACAAUAGGACGAAUUGACCGUCCAGUAC
rnacentral:hammerhead_ribozyme from 1 species